UACGUAGGCAGCGAGCGUUUGUUCGGAGUUACUGGGCGUAAAGGGUGUGUAGGCGGUUGUUUAAGUUUGGUGUGAAAUCUCCCGGCUCAACUGGGAGGGUGCGCCGAAUACUGAAUGACUUCGAGUGCGGGAGAGGAAAGUGGAAUUCCUGGUGUAGCGGUGAAAUGCGUAGAUAUCAGGAGGAACACCGGUGGUGUAGACGGCUUUCUGGACCGUAACUGACGCUGAGACACGAAAGCGUGGGUAGCAAACAGG
rnacentral:rRNA from 1 species